GCUCCCGUCGUCUAACGGAUAGGACGCAACCUUGCGGAGGUUGUAAUUGGGGUUCGAUUCCUCACGGGAGCA
rnacentral:tRNA from 1 species